UAUAUAAUCAUUCCUUGUAUAUAUAUUAGACUCGAGCUGUGCGCCGCCGCGCCUUCUCGAUCCGCGUCCCUUUCAUAAUGUGCGAUCAAGCUGACGAGUUUUAUUUUAAAAUCGAAUAAAUUCAAAUGAGACGAAGAAUCUGCAGUGGCAGUUGAAAAUCGUUUUUGUUUUUUUUUUUUUUUUAUUACAGCUCGCGAAAGAACCUCGGAGAGGAAUUUGAAUUGGCGUUUUGAAAAAAGCAGACAAAACAAGCGAUAUACGAUCGUGUUAAUAGAGAGAUUCGCGUCUGUGGGAGUUAACUUUUGAUAAAUUUCAUCCGCCAAUUAGAGCUUUCGUAUUAAUUGUGCUAACUCCGAUUCCAUUUGCAUUUCCCUCGGCCUUGAAAACGUCAGCUGUUCGCGUCGAGACAGUCGAAUGCAUCGGAACAGCUGUGACACUCGCAGCUUCGCAAAAAAUCUCAGCGGUACGAGGCGCUCCGACACACGAUCGUUGAUGAAUGAAAAUUUUUCGAAAAAUCUAAUAAAGUUAUGAAAUUGUGCGGAAUUUUGUCAUCAGAGAUUCGUUGGAGCAUCAAAGUUCGUUAGAUUUUGUGCAUUUUAUUGUACAUUUUAUAGAUUGUGGAAGGGCGGGCUUUUUGGCGGGAUGUUAAUGUCGAAACUGCUUGGUAAGAAAGGCUCAAAUGAUUUGAGAUUUGAUACGAAAAUGGGGGAGAAAGACUUUUUGAUGAUUAGGCUCGUCGAGCGUCCAGCAGCUGUCGCAGAUUCCGGGAGAAAUGACCGCCGCGUGCUACUCCUUCCGUUAUUCCUGCCUGUGCAUUAAGCGAUACCGAGACCCGAGUCUAUAUCCGUGAAACAUUUCAUCGUUUAGCUUCGCAUCAGCGAAAUGUUUCGUGUGACCGAAAAGGUGCGAGAUCGCAGUUGAAAAAAGUGGGAAAAAAAUUGAACGUAAUUGUACAGCUGCGAUAUUUCGUGGAGCGUUCGAUUCGCGUUAUUGCCGGGAGAAAAGUUUCUAGAAAAAUCAUUCGAUUUGAGGAGGCUUUGACUUUUGACAACGGAGGAGAAAAACUUUGACACAUUUUUCAAAAAAUAUGCACCGCCGCGCGUGUGUUUCCGACGAAACACAAACGCCUUCGUUUUUCUUCGGAUCUCGUUCUGCGGCCAGAGACCCGAUUCAUCGACCCCCCAGGCCGUAAGACUCGAUCCACAUUACACAGAAACUCAGAGCCAUGCGCGCACGUGAACACAAACGUUCUGUGGUCUCGAGCCUUUCAACACACGUCUGAGCAUGGAGGAAUGCGAUUGGCAGAAAAAGACUGUCUAUGAGUUCGAACGAGCACAAAUUCAAGGAAAUCGCGAUUGACCGAAUUAUUAAUGGCCUAAACUUUCGAUCUCGAACGAAAGAGUCUUUGUUUGCGGCGUCGUUCGAAGCGCCGAAUAUAUCAAGUAACGCGUCCGAUGUACCAAUAAGAUUGAGAGGAAACGAGGUUGCCAUAAUGGUCACCACAUUUCGUUGUGUCUGCGCUCGGGAUCCUGUAUUUCCGGUAUCCGGUCACGGUCGUCGAGCGUCAAUAACAUCGCCAUUUUUAAAUCGAUCGGCGUCAACGAACCGUGAAUCAUCGAAAAACGAGACUGGACGAAAAAACGAGCGAAAAAAGCAACGAACGGAGGCGCAAGGGUCACAACACACGAAUGUGAAAAGCAUGAAAAGGUUCGCUUUCACAUCCCGUCCGUCUCAUGUAUCGCGCCAGCCGGAUGGACGAACUCCGAGUUCAUCGUGCGACGCGAGACGAAUGGAAAAAAUAAACAUUAAUUCCGCGCACGUGAACUUGAGAUCCAACAUUCGUAUUUUCACAUGCGUGGAUCCGAUCGAGAGAGACGCGAUCGCUGCUGAUCCAAAUGCGUACGUUUUGUAGCAAGACCCAAAAAAAAACUGCGGCCUCGAAGAGGUUACUGAUCGAAAAGCAUGUUCGAUCGCAAUUCGUCGCAUUAGAAUAACGAAAAAAUGUGUUAUGUGACGACGAGGAAGCGAGAGACCAGAAAAAGGUACCAACUUUCGAUGGAAUUCCGUAAUCAAACAAAAGUAAAAAUCAUUUCUCACGUUUCUUUCUUUCUUUCAUACGCGAGAAGCGAAGAAUCUCAAGACGAGUUAUUCCAAUCGGCGCCAACUUGAGGCGUCUAGACUCAACGGAUGCGCUAUUCUCGUACGAAAGGAUUUAAAACCAUAACAAGCGUGUCCCCCUUUGAAUUAAUAUUUUUAAACAUAUAUUCUUGUCUCGGAGUUGAUUUUUCGGGAAGAAUUUAGGGCUUUGAACGAGCGGAGAGACCGGAAGCGUAAAUAACGAAGAGGCUCGACGCACGUGCUCGAUUUUAAGAGACAAAGCGAAAACUCACUUCGCCGAAUGGUUUAUUUCGUUUUGAGGAGUUUCUGCAGAUUCGAACGAUUUUCAAUCGUAUUUAUCGAAGGACGAAGAAUGUGAAGUUUCGACAGGAAGACCAACUUUUCGAACUCUUUUAUAUCGAAAAUUCAAUUAUUUUAUGACUUUUUUCCCAAAAAGCUCAUCAAGCGACGCCGGAAUGAGCGCACCUGCAUCAUCCUCGUGGCGCCAUCAUCCGAACGGGGCCUCAAGCAUAGUUCUUAGCGAGUUUUAAUGCUACUUUACCGGUUGGUUUAAUGAAUUUUCAUUCUCAUGAGUGCUCAGGCUUACUCCCUAUCAAAAUAAUCGUUCUGCAAAAAAAUGAAGCGGUUCACAACGCAACUUGUUUCGCAAUUUAGUCUCGUAUUAAAAAAGAAUCUUUCGAACUAUGCUCGAUUCGAUUUUUUGGCUCUCAUUUUCCAGUGUAAUUAAAAAAAAUUGAAUUCAAAUUGUUUGAAUCGAGUAAAAUGCUAUGGAGAAACAGUAGUUUUAAGAAAACUGAAUUUUCACAAUCGAAAUUGUACGAAGGAUUAAAAUAUUGGAACAGUGAGAAAAGCUUCACUGACAGUUGCUGCUUAAUUCUUGAAUCUUCAGUCAUUUUUUCCACUGCAUAUAUUUUGUAUUUUUUAAAUACUUGUGAAUAAACAAAAG
rnacentral:lncRNA from 1 species